AAAUGCAAGCAGGCAUCCCUAACAGGUGGUUUCAGCUUAAUUUUCCAGCUGAAAAUGCAAAGAUUCAUCCUUCUGCAAAACAGGUGUUUUGGAUGACUCACUGUUGUCCUACCCAGCUGGAGAUGAGAAGGUAUCCCAAAACCCAGAGCAUGUGCACCAGCUGGCUUGGGAGCAACAGCUGUGCUCCACUAAGAGCUUCUCUUCCCCUCUGCUCGUGGGUCUGUUCCUGAGCAGAGCCAGGCUGUGCCCAGAGCUCUUAGUGUGGGCUGGAGACAGGAGGAAGAAAUAAUAUUUGCAGCCAGCUCAUGGUAUGGACAUUCUGGAAGGGGAUGAAGGAAGCAACAAGAAGCACUAAUAGUGCAGCUGGCUGAGAGCAUGUAGGAAUGGCAGCGCUAGCGGUGGAAGGGAAACCCAGAUCUCCCAAGUACCAGACCAGCAGCUCCUUCAAGGUGCACCCUUCUGCACAGUAUUUGCUCUGGUUGCUGUUUGAUGCUCAGCUCUUCUGUCCCUGAAGUAGAGCCCGUGCUGGGGCGAAUGCUGGUUGCAGCUGAUGGAGAAAGCCACAGUGUUCUGGAGAUAUCUUCUAAUGAAGCAGAUGCACAGAAGGGGCCUGGAGUCAAUCACUGUCUUUGUUGCUCUCUUCCUGGCACCUUCUAAAGAGCUCAGAUAAAAAGCCAGGCUUCCUGCCCUCACCACCCAGCAUGAGAACCUGCUCUCCUGCUCGGAAGAAGGGUGCUGCACUCAAAGCCUCUCUUCAGCUUCCUUGCCUCUCCAUGGGGACUCUGCAUGAGAGGGGAAUGCAAACAAACCCAAACCUGAGGUCUUUAAACCAAAAUUGUGUGCAAGGAUCUAAACACGUGAGGAUUCCUGUUGCAAAAUUGAGGAUUUCUGUUACGUUCCUUUGUGAAUCCUAAUACGCCUGGAAAUUAUGAAUCAUAACAAGUCAUGCUGCCAAGUACAAGAAGGAUUAUAUGAUCUGUGAUCCAGUAACUCCCAGCUGCUUAGUCAUCUGUGCAGCUGGGAUCUCUCACCAAGGGUUGAGGUGUGCUUGCUUCCUGGGCGGAGAUGGAGAGUGGGGCAGAUGCUGCCAGCCGUCGGGGUGCGGCAUGAUGCACUUGUUCAGCCAAAGCUAGUGAUGGCCGUGACCUGAACAACCCCAGGCAGAGGAAGAAGAGCAAAACCAACAGCUCACAUGCCAGAGGCAGAAAUCCCACAGCAAUUCUCUCUGGGCAUUACUUUCUCAAUAUAUCGAUCCAGCCGGGUGGUCAGUAAGAGCAGGCGCUGUUGGCAGAGCCAGGAGCCCCCGUGGAGGAGCUUCCUCUGGCUUUCCACCCCAGAGAAGGUGCCCGGGUGUCCCACACACUCAGCAUCCUGGAGAAGACCUGGCAGAGCGGAUCUAUAAGCCACAUCCAUUUCGCACACCCACACACUUCCCAGUGUCUGGUCAAGGUGAUUUGAUGACUGUUGUUCCUGGACAUGGACUGGAAGAUAGAGACACCUCCAGCUGGCUGGAGCCUUCAGCAAUCCCAGGUUCCCUGCUUGCUCCUCAGCUCUCUGUUUCUCAAAGACUUGAGGAAGCUGCAAAGAUUCAGAGAUGUGUUUUUUUGUUUGUUUGUUCCCUUUCUUGAAAGCACAGCUAAAAAAAGAAGAAAAUUGAAACUGAGCCCAGCCCACAAUGCAGAGUGUGUAGGUGUGAUGCUAACCAACACCUGGGGCUGCGAAGCACCCUGGGGGAGCUGACACCUGAACCCUCUUGCACCAUCUGGCGGACGUUCUCUUUCUCUUCAUUCUUUCUUUGGCACCUUUUCAGAAAGUACACAAGAUGAUGACUCCGAAGUUGUUUUGUCUUGUUUGAAAAUGUCCUAUACAUUGUAGGAGAAGGGACCAAGGAGAGGACAGUGGUUUUCCUUUGUAAAUUCAUGUGGAGCCCGGCAAUUGACACACUAGGACCCAAGAGCUGCUGCUGUCCCUGGCUGAAGGUUUCUUGAGGUGGCUGGCAGAAAACAGCGAUGGCAGACAGGGCCUCGUGGUGGCAAUCAGGCUGUCUCUGAGUUUUUGGCCUUGGCAGGUGUAGAUGCUCAUGCCAUCAUCACAGCUGCUGUAGUGACCAGCUGCCAAAACAAGCAUCAGCUGCCCUCUCCUCAGCACCUCCCCAUCUCCAAAGCCGCUGGUAGGAUUGGGAACUGCUAGGAAAGGACAUACCCUGCAAGCAAGCCGAGUUGAAGACCAGCAAAGCUGGAAGGAGGGCUGAGAAAACCCAGCCAGCAUCUCUUCAAAUCCUGGUGCCCGCUUCGUCCCUGCUCAGCACACAGGAGCCGCAGGGAUUUGCGUGUAUAAUCCUUACAGGGGACCCUAGGCCACCAGGUCGGCUUCACAGAGCCUGCUGGGAAGUGCCUUGUCCCCAGCUAAGCUUCUUUCCCUGUUGGCAUGUCGUAGGAGGAGGAUGAGAUUAGUGUUUUCUGCUGCACGAUGUCAGCUGAGGGAUGAGAACGGCGCACUGAGAGGAGGAGAGCUGCUGUGGGUGAAGACCAUCCCUUUCAAACACGAAGCACAGCAAGUCCAAACCAGCACGUUUCCCCCCUCUCCUUGGGGAUCAUGCUGCAGUAGUGAGGAGACAAAUGGAGCCAGUCCGCUGUGCUAAACUACAAAACCACAGGUUUCAGCAAAGCCCUUCAAGCCUGUCCGCCCCCCAACAGUGUCGCUGCCCCUUGCUUUUGACUGAGGUCUGGAAAUACCAGCAGGGGCUGGCCACUGCCUGUAUCCCACGUGUUGCCACUGUCCUGCUGGGUGACAUCAGGCAAGGGCUGUCAGGGCUCAGCAUGGCAGAUGUGAUCUUCCAAGUCCAGCAUCCCCAUCCGAUCCAAGGACACCCAUGGCACCGUGGUGGGCUUGAUUCCACCGUGGCAUAACCUCCAGCGAUCCCAAAAGAUAAGCAGCCUCAGCCUGUCCUUCAAGAGCCUCUCUGAAGCCUCCCAAGAUGGUGCCUGCAUGGCUUUAACGCUGUCUGUUCAGCUCUUGCCGGAACAACUUCCUCGUCUUCAUCUGGAACCUGAGACAAAGGAAAGAACUGUUUGUAAUGAGCUAUUUAUGGAGAAAUUCGUCUUGAGAUUUGCAUCACCACUACAAGAAAAGUCGGCGCCACAACUUUCCUACUGUGGUUAAGGACAGCUCUCAGCGGUCGGGAGCCCCCAGGUCCUGUGAGCAGUAGGAACAUGUUUCAGCAUUGUUUUUUUGCAGGAGAAGAGACCAAUUUGCAUUGCUGGAAACGGAAUGAUGUGGAGAACCACAAGAACCCGUCAUUCUGGUCAGGCCCUUGGAUUUUGUCAGGAUUUUUUGAAUACUCCUUCGCAGCUAAAACUCCCACUGGGUUGUCUUGCUGCUAGCAAGGCUGAUUGGGAUUGUGAAGGGGCAGGUAGGCUGGCAAGCAGGCUUUCCCCAAAGCAUCAAACUAGAUUCAAUUAACCCACUUUAGCUGCAGGAACAUGGUUAGCUGGCAGCCAAGUCCCCACGGAGAGGUUAGAUAACACACAGCGGCUUAGUCACACUGGAGAAGUAAAUGUCUCACAACUUGCUGAGACAAAUUCCUCCCUGUUUUAAUUAAAUGUGAGCUCCCAGAGUGCCUAAAGCUCUACUGGUCUCUGGCUGCCCCUGCCCAUGCAUCAAUCCAGUUGUGCCAUUCAAGUCUCCAAAUCUUUGUCCUCACUUGCACCACAAGCGAGCUCUGUUUUCAUUCACCAUUGUUUCAGAGCCUGGUGGCUGGCUAGAGGGAUGAUAAUAAAAUAAGGAUUUUACUGCUUGGUACUCUGCAAUUAACCGGAAAAUACAGAUUUAUUUUUUUUUUCCUAGCCUUCUUGAAAGCAAAGCAAUGGAUGCUCAGGUCCCAGGACUUCACCAGUAGUCAGAGCUUUUCCUUGGCCCCAAGGAUGGAGCAGGGACCAUUUAGCAGGAGCUGCUAGCGUACUAGAUGCUGAAUGAAGGAGCCCCUGACGCUUAAGGCAGUGUCCUGCCUUUGGUUUUUGCCCAGAUGUAAAAUCAGAGGCACUGGUCUGAACCUGACUGCAGACAGCCGGCUGCCAGCUGCGGGCCAUGACGCCGGCCUUGCUGCGAGCCUGUGCCGCCUUCUGCCUACUUGAGAGCAGAGUGAAGGCAAAGAGGGCCAGGAACAAGAGGAGGGGACGAGGAGCUUUAAUAGAUGAUGUGAGUCCAGUCUACAAGCAGGAGGAGAGACAGCAGAGAGAUGGAGGGAUGCAGUUCUCGGCGUUUCUGUGCAGCAAGCUGCUCCUCACAAGCCAGAUUUUUAACUGAUGAUGCCUCCCCAUAGGCAGUGAGUGCUGGUUUAAAAUAAAGCUUGACAAAUGGCAUGUUGGGGGCGUCAGGUCCUAGAGCACUGUCUUCCGAAAACUAUGAAAAAGGCACCAGAGGGGAGCCUGGCACAGCCUCCAAGAUGACAGUAAUUAAAGGCUUUUGCGCUCAGGCACUGGGAGCUGCUCCUCUUGCAAAUUGGCAUUGAUUGGAGAGGAAGAGAAUGAUUAAAUUGGAGGAGAGUGAUGGGGGCGUCAGGAGAAAGCACAGAGGUUUGUCUUUUCUACGACUGGUGAGCAGGAAAAAUGUCCCCCCUGGGGUGCCCCAGCUGGGUCCUUGUUGCCAUCCCUGCAGACAGACCCCAGCUGGCUGGGGCCUCCAAGCCAAGGAGCUGAUCCAAAACCAAACUGAGAUCCCCUGGCUGCUGAGCCUGGAGCACUAAUGCUCAGGGUAUGCACCAGUGUGACUCGACAGAAGACGACAGAGGUUGGAAAAGGCCUGGAAGGGCUGGGAUGUCGUUGCCAUGGAAAUCGCUCAGUGUCUGGAGCAGCAAGAAUGAGAACAACUCCAAAAGUAAUGAUCUGUCACUUUGACGAAGAGGGAAUUGGAGGGAUUUGGUUAGGGGGAAGCUUCAUGCUUCAAAUAAUACGCGUCCAUAUGCCACAUCGUCCCCAAAAGGGCUCUGUCGACAGCCCUGGGAAAUAAUCUGAUGUGUUUUGGCCGAGGGUUUCCCCAGGGAGCACGGACACGGUUUCUGCACAGCAGCUGAGCUGCACGGCUCCACAAUCCCAGGAUGAAAGGCACCAACUCAAUGCAAUAUUCAUUCACUCGUUCUUCCUCCCUUCAUUCAUUUAUUCAUCCAUUCAUCUGGUUCAUUCACAUUUCCCCAGCACUUUAAUGAGCAGUGCUGAACCUCUGCAGUCCUGCAGAGCUGUCCCCUGGUGCGCUGCCGCUGUGCUGCAGACGGCCAUCUCAAAGCCCAGCGUUCGUCCAUUUACAGGGAAAAUCCUGGUGUGGCUGCAGCGGGGUCUGCAGGGUGUCCAGCUGUGCACUGGGGUCUUUAAAGCCCUCCAAAAUCCUGCUAGGCUUUGCUGUUCCUGUGAUUUCUCUUUGCUCUGAUUUACGUCUCAUUCAGCUCGCAUCUUCCAUGUGGCAGCCUGAGGAGAGGGAAAGAGCGAGCAUGGGGUGAUUUCUUUCUUUUCGGUGUGGUCUUUUAGGAAGUGGAGAAGGAUGCUUCAGGAGCAUCUUCCCUCCUCAGCCAUGUCUGAGCUCCCUGGGCAGCUGAGUUGGGAUAUAGUGACCACUGCAGAGGUCUCAGAUGGCCAUCAAGCCAGACUGAAGACCACAGUCCUAACCAGGACCUGGCUUUUUUCCAGAUUUAUUCUCCACACAGAGUCAACAGGGACUGGAGGCAGCUAUUGCAGGGCUGUCUAGGGCAGGUUUUUUCCCAACCAUAUGCAGACGUUUCUCUUGAAGAAAAUAAAACGGAUGGCGUCUGGGUAGAAAUCAGGAAAGAUUAAAAGGAGAAAACUAAUUUUCCUGCCUAUGAUCUCACUCGUGGAAAAUGAUGCUUUUUCUGUGUGCGCUGCUGAUCUGUCCUCUGCCUCUCUCCAAAGAGCUAAAUGCAUCUCUGAACCAAAGGAAGCAAAGAGAAAACAUCCGUUCUUUGUAUAAUGAAGAAAGCUUUUUCUUUUGUUCCCUGCCUUUUAUCAAGUAUCUGCUAUCUAACAUUAUUGUUACUCACAGGGUUAUUACCUCUAAGUGGCUACUUCCACCAGCAUGAGCUGCUUUAUUGUCUGCUCAGAGCAAUUACAGAUCGAGAUAAUUCCUGCCGCACUGUUUCAUUGCGGAAGGAUUUGCUGUGCUCCAUGGCCGAGGUAACUCGAGGUGACUUGUGCUGCUGAGUUAUCCAUCGCAUUAAUUAGUGGUGGGUGGCUGGUGCCCUGCUGGAUUCUGGGACAGAAGAUCAGCAGAGGCUAAACCUGGACAUCUUUCAGUGUGAGAGGUGCAAGUAUUAAAAGGAAAAUUUGUUUUUAGUAGA